AUUGAACGCUGGCGGCAGGCCUAACACAUGCAAGUCGAGCGGAUGAAGGGAGCUUGCUCCUGGAUUCAGCGGCGGACGGGUGAGUAAUGCCUAUGAAUCUGCCUGGUAGUGGGGGAUAACGUCCGGAAACGGGCGCUAAUACCGCAUACGUCCUGAUGCAGAAAGUGGGGGAUCUUCGGACCUCACGCUAUCAGAUGAGCCUAGGUCGGAUUAGCUAGUUGGUGGGGUAAAGGCCUACCAAGGCGACGAUCCGUAACUGGUCUGAGAGGAUGAUCAGUCACACUGGAACUGAGACACGGUCCAGACUCCUACGGGAGGCAGCAGUGGGGAAUAUUGGACAAUGGGGGAAAGCCUGAUCCAGCCAUGCCGCGUGUGUGAAGAAGGUCUUAGGAUUGUAAAGCACUUUAAGUUGGGAGGAAGGGAAGUAAGUUAAUAACUUGCUGUAUUGACGUUACCAAAAGAAUAAGCACCGGCUAACUUCGUG
rnacentral:rRNA from 1 species